rnacentral:lncRNA from 1 species
GCCAAUUUCCACCCUCUCUCUGGAAACUGUCAUUAGGGUUAGGGAAACUGUCAUGAGAUCUGCAUAUUUUAGAUAGAGGCUGCUUGCCUUAUUUGGGCACCUAAUGAAAAAGACAUGGAGGCCAGGUGCGGUGGCUCAUGUCUGUAAUCCCAGCACUUUGGGAGGCCAAGGCGAGUGGAUCACCUGAGGUCAGGAGUUCGAGACCAGCCUGACCAACAUGGCAAAACCCCGUCUGUACUAAAAGUGCAAACACAAAGGGAACUGCGUGGCUUGUUUCUACCUGAACAUUGUCAAGUGAUUUCAUCCUUUGAAACACAGUUGUGAAGUGUGUCCAGCAGUCUGAGAACAAGAAGAAGAAGAAAAUCUAAUCCUUCAGGGUGUCUGUGUGCCAGCCCUGCUCUCAGCACUUCCCAUGUGGAACUCCUUUACUUCUCCUAACAACUCCAUGACAUGGGUUAGACUGUGAUUGUUCCCAUAUUGUUGGUAGGGAAACUGAGGCAUGCAGGUGUUACAGAGCUCUCUCAAGUGGCAAGCUUUCUGGGUGGUUACAGAGUGGCAGAGCUGGGGUAUCCCAUGAUGUCACCACACUGCUAUAUGGAAAAGAACAUUAAUCGAGCACCUACGUGCUUGAUUCUCUUAAUUCUGUGACUGAACUCUCAAAACACCCUGGGUUGGUUUCCUUUUUACAACUGCCCAAGUCAUGAGUUCAUAGGGCCUGGAUGGCUGUACCGGAUUGCUCUCCAGCUGGUCUCUCUGCAUCCAGAAAUUUCUACAACCUACUGGGGUAAAAUCUUUCUCAACCCUGCUUUUCAUCAUCACAUCUUAAAUAUCUCGAGUUGGUUCCCUAUUGCCAAAAAAAAUCCAUUGUCCAUGUAGGGUUCUUCUGCCGAAACGAGGAAAGAGUGAGUUAAAUGUUGGUAGGUGAUAUAGAGAUAGUAAUUAGGCAAUAUAAUUCGAUGUUGUUGAAAGAGCUGAGCUAUGAAAUGCAUUGUGAUAAAGGGGCUGCCUGUGUAAGUAAAUGGGUAUAAUGAGGUGUAAAACUCCCUUUCUCUCUCUCUUUCUGCUUCAUAAGCCUUUCUGCUUCUCAAGUCCAGACCUGCUGUUUUUGGGGUUUCCUUCCAAUUUUUUUGCUGCUUCCCUGGGGCCUUGGCUCUUGGGCCUGCUGCCUCUUCCCACUCUACACCUUUGGAUUCCUUAUCUUUGGCUCCACCUUAUUGCUCCAUUCUCCAAAGACAAAUCCACAAGGCAUAGGAUUUUACAGAAUAUGGGGUUACAGAAACAGCAUAGGGAAGUGUAAAAGCCUAGAAGCUUCUUACAGACGCAGCCCCUUGUCUGUAGCUCCUGACUCCCACUUAAAUGUCUGUUGGAAGCACCCUGGGGUAGCAGAACCCAGCUCAGAAGAUGGGGCUUAUCCACCAUGCCUUUUCCUAACCUGACACCCACCCAGAUAAUCUUUUCAAUAUGCAAACUAGAGCGUAUCACCCCCUGCUCAGAGCCUUUCUGUGACCUCCCAUUUUGCUUCCCAGGACUCCUUGCUCCUUAGCCAGGUCUCCAGGUCCUCCGUGAUCAGGUCUCUGCUCUUCUGCAGCCUCAUCUCUGCCAUUCUUCACCUUUUGUGCUCCAACCCAAUCUGGUUUUCUUCUCAUGCUUUGAACACCCCAAGUCUGUCUGCUUCAGGAGCUUCGUACUGGCUAAUCAUUCACCACAGCAUACUCCCAUCUAUACGGCUGGCUCUUAUAUUAUGGGUCUCAGCUAAAAUGUCAUCCCUUCAAAGAGACCUUCUUGGACCACCCCCGCCAUUCUCUAUCCUAUUUCUCUCUUUUAUUUUCUUUGAAGCACUUACCCACUUUCAGAAACUAUCUGGCUUGCUCAUGUGUUUGUCUCUAGAUUGUCUACUUCCCCUCCUAGACUGUACUCUCCACAAGAGAGCAAAGCUGUGUCUGUUGCAUUCACUGUUGUCUUCCCAGAAGCAAGCAGCAUGCUGGAGACCCUCAAAUACAUGUGAAAUGAAGGGACACCUUGUGUUAUUUCACCUGUUUCCACCUGGUUCCCAAGUGGCAAGCUUGCAUUGAGGUUACAAAGUGGCAAAGCUGGGAUAUCACAUGAUGUCACCAUGAUGCUAUAUGAAAUGUAACAUUAAUUGAGUACCUAUGUGACCAGUUCUUUAAUUCUGUAAGUGAACUCUCAAAAAACCCUAGGUAAGUAUUAUCAACUCGAACUUUAACGGAUGAGGAAACUGGAAUUUUUUAAAAAAUGACUUAACCAAACAUCACAGAGCUGUAAACCAGGAUUUGAAUGGGUGAGCUGCACUCAGCCUUCAUCUCAAGUCAGUUUGCCUCUUUCUCCAAGAAGCCACAGUUGAUCCUGACCACAUCACAUAUGAGUUGCCUGGAUUGCAGUCAUUCAUUCACUAAGCAUCUUUUAGGAGGUCACAUGCCAGGCACCGUGUUAGAGCACUGCGUGUUUUGAAAUAUACAAAUAGUGGGAAACGAAAUCUUUGUUCUGGAUGCAGUUAUAAUUUGGAAAGCGAGGAAAUAAAUUAUAACAAGGGGAAAAAACAGACACAGAGGGAUUGAAAUGCAUAACAAUAGAGAUGAAACACGAAGAGUGAUAAAUGAAGAUUGAGUGUGCACACCUUCUGGAGGAGCCCUGAUUGAGUAUUUUAACACAGAAGUGGGUGAGAGCAAAGUUGUGUCAGAGUAAGACAAUGACACCAAGCCAGAUGGUUAUCAAAAUCCACAGGAACAAAUGAAGAGAACCAGAAAUUGCAAAUAAGAAGGACAGAGUACCAGAGAGGAGAGAGAGGUACAGAGAAUUAUGGAGGUGGCUUCCGUUGAGUAUGCAGCUAAGUAAUGAUUAAUGCAUACAUAUAAGAAACUACUGGAUGACAGAGAAAGAACCACAAGCAAUUUAAAGAAUACUACUAAAGUCAUGCCGUGUGACUUCUGAAGCUAGCUCCUAAGAAGUCCUUGCAGCUUCUGCCUGCGACUCUUAGAACACUUGCUUUGAAGGAUGCCAGAUGCUGUCUUAAAAGUCUGAGCACUCUGAAACCAUCAUGCUGUGAGGAAGCCCAAGCUAACCACAUGGGCAAAAAAGAUGCCCUCUGACUGCCACCAUUUGAGACACUCUAAUUAAGAACUGCCUCAUUGAGCCCAUGAGGCCCUGUGAAUGAUAAUAAUAAAUUGUUUUUAACCACUAUGUUUUUGGAUUUGUUAUAAGUUUAUAGAUAACAAGAAAAAGUUAUAUUAGCAUGGUAAUAAAAUUAUGGAUAUGUGUAA